rnacentral:rRNA from 1 species
UGGCUCAGAUUGAACGCUGGCGGCAGGCCUAACACAUGCAAGUCGAACGGUAGCACAGAGAGCUUGCUCUCGGGUGACGAGUGGCGGACGGGUGAGUAAUGUCUGGGAAACUGCCUGAUGGAGGGGGAUAACUACUGGAAACGGUAGCUAAUACCGCAUAACGUCGCAAGACCAAAGAGGGGGACCUUCGGGCCUCUUGCCAUCAGAUGUGCCCAGAUGGGAUUAGCUAGUAGGUGGGGUAACAGCUCACCUAGGCGACGAUCCCUAGCUGGUCUGAGAGGAUGACCAGCCACACUGGAACUGAAACACGGUCCAGACUCCUACGGGAGGCAGCAGUGGGGAAUAUUGCACAAUGGGCGCAAGCCUGAUGCAGCCAUGCCGCGUGUAUGAAGAAAGGCCUUCGGG